rnacentral:lncRNA from 1 species
GUCACCUCUAGUGCCUGGAGGCAGUCAGCUGCUGUGAGCUGAAUGCUGAUUGGCUAUGCGGCAGACUGUCGCCGCUGUUGCUGCCGCUGGUGGUGCCCAUGUCCGCGCUCCCGUGCAAAAAAUAAGAAAUUUACCGUGAUACCCUAUAGUUUCUGUCGUGAUUGAUUCGUGAUUUUAACGGCUGACAUAUCUUGAUAUCGGAUCAUCUACGGAAGUUUUCUUCAGGAUUACUUUGUGUGGAUCAUCCUCCCUGUGAGCGCGCUCUGGCCAGCACCAGUGGUGACCCUCCAUCCAGUGGUGACCCUCUGACUGGUGACCGACCGCUGGUGACCCGCAGUGUCAGUGUCAGUGUCAGUGUGUUAGUGGUGAGUGCUGGCGCGUCGCCCCAUGCUCGAAUGGGAAGGCAACAAUGGAAACGGAGACGGAGACAACCUGUCCUUCGAGGACUCGGACAGGUUUGAGGAGGACAGUCUGUGCUCGUGGGUCUCGGAGCAGGAGUCGGUCUGCACCAACUGGCGCGGCUGGAAGAGACCGACUGUGAGCCGACUGCCGCCGCCGCCCUCCGCAUUCUACUCCAGCAAAGACGAAGGUCAGUCCCCUCAGAUUGGAAGAGAGAGGUUGAUAGGGAUGGGGAAAGGAAAAGAACGGCGGAGCGAGAUGGAUGGUCGAACAUGAGCAAGCGGAUUAAUGAAAUAGUGAAGGAAUAUAAAGGUGAAUGUUAUUUAGAGGAGUGAAGGGGAAUAUCUGGGCGAAUAGGGGUAAACAAGCGGCUGCGCCACUUGCUUCGCGGCGUAGCCAGAAAAUGCGGCAGCAGCCGAUUUGCUUUCGAAUGGUGUAUGAAUUAAAUUGAUCGGUCGUCUGGAAGCAGAGAUAUGGACGGAAACGUGCCGAGGAAAUUUUUGAACAUAAAAAGUAUUCUGAGGGCUUAGCUGGAUGAAAUUUGGGUCAUACAGGGUCACGUCAGGUCAAGUUGGUCAUCCCUGGUCACUUUCGGUCAGGCCAGGUCGGAUAGGUCACCACGUCACAUUGGAUCGGCCUGUACCACACUUCUACUACUUCUACCCAUACAACUACUCCUACCACUACCCCUACCACUACCCCUACACCUACCACUACCCCUACUACUACCCCUACCACUACUACUACCCCUACCCCUAAACCUACCCCUACCCCAUACCAAUACAUCUACCACUACCCCUACCACUACCCCUACUCCUACCCCUACCACUACCCCUACCCCUACCACUACCCCUACCACUACCACUACCACUACCCCUACUACUGCCCCUACCACUAACCCUACCACUACCACUAUCCCUACCACUACCCCUACCCAGGGUUACUUUUAAAGGGGGGGAAAGGGGGAAUUUCCCCCCUUCGAAAAUUCCGCUCCCCCUUUCAAAUUGUGCGUGAACGGCUGGGGAGGGAAGGGGGAAUUUCCCCCUUUCAAAUUUAUUUUUGAGCCCAUUUUCAAUCAAUUCGCUACUCAGAUUCUCUAAUCAUCGUUGAUCAGACUCUAGUCAUCAAUCAACGUUGCUGGCGCUUAGAUAAUUUUCAAUUUGAGGCACCAUCCAACCAUUUUACGUUCAGUGCAGCGGGAACUCCAGAUUUGACCCGAUACCGAUCGGAUGGUCGGUGGGACCGUCUCUUGUCUUGUCUCUUUCGUCUCUUCGCAAUCAUUGACAUAUCGCUACAGGCGACGGCGUAGAAACCGGCGGGGGACGGGGGUCAUGACCUCUCCGAACCAAGGGUCUUCCUUCGAACCAGGAUCCUUCAAUCGGUCUUGGCCUAGCAAAAAAAAGUCACGUGUUAACCUCUCUCUAUUAAGAAAGGCGCUACUUGAUGUUUGGCCUGGGUAAUAGGUUGAUACUACUGAUUGACAUUUGCAAGCGCGCAGUCAAGUUGGGACCUCCCCCGCCCCUUACCGCCAAGGUAGAUACCUACGUAUAUUUUUUUAUCUUUUUUUUUGGCAACCUAACAAUAUAAAGUGGCCAGAAUCCGGGGAGAGAGUAGGAUUUGGGGUAGGUAAAGUUCUGCAGGCGCCAUCCUAACAAAAACCUAAUGGCAUUGGGCCCCCCUUUCAGAUGCCCCUGGAUCCGCCCUUGCCCCGAACUUUAUUCCCCAUCUCGACUUUUCCUGUAAAAGUAACCCUGCCCCUACCCCUACUACUACCACUACUCCUACCCCUACUACUACCAUUGCUCCUACCACUAUCACUACCACUACACCCACUACUUCCCCUACCACUAUUACCAUCACUACUACUGGGUCAUGUGAGGUCACAGAUUAAUUGAAUCCAAUAAGUAGGAACUAAAAAAAAAAAACAGAUAAAUAAUACACUAAAACAGUA